rnacentral:rRNA from 1 species
GACGAACGCUGGCGGCGUGCUUAACACAUGCAAGUCGAGCGGAAAGGCCCUUUCGGGGGUACUCGAGCGGCGAACGGGUGAGUAACACGUGAGUAACCUGCCCUUGACUUUGGGAUAACCCCGGGAAACCGGGGCUAAUACCGGGUAUGACCCUGCCGGGCAUCUGGUGGGGUGGAAAGCUUUUGCGGUCAGGGAUGGGCUCGCGGCCUAUCAGCUUGUUGGUGGGGUGAUGGCCUACCAAGGCGAUGACGGGUAGCCGGCCUGCGAGGGCGACCGGCCACACUGGGACUGAGACACGGCCCAGACUCCUACGGGAGGCAGCAGUGGGGAAUAUUGCACAAUGGGCGGAAGCCUGAUGCAGCGACGCCGCGUGAGGGAUGACGGCCUUCGGGUUGUAAACCUCUUUCGACAGGGACGAAGCGUGAGUGACGGUACCUGGAGAAGAAGCGCCGGCCAACUACGUGCCAGCCGCCGCCGUAAGAC